rnacentral:rRNA from 1 species
GAUGAACGCUAGCUACAGGCUUAACACAUGCAAGUCGAGGGGAAACGAUAGAGAAAGCUUGCUUUUUCUAGGCGUCGACCGGCGCACGGGUGAGUAACGCGUAUCCAACCUGCCCACCACUUGGGGAUAACCUUGCGAAAGUAAGACUAAUACCCAAUGACGUCUCUAGAAGACAUCUGAAAGGGAUUAAAGAUUUAUCGGUGAUGGAUGGGGAUGCGUCUGAUUAGCUUGUUGGCGGGUAACGCCCACCAAGGCGACGAUCAGUAGGGGUUCUGAGAGGAAGGUCCCCCACAUUGGAACUGAGACACGGUCCAAACUCCUACGGGAGGCAGCAGUGAGGAAUAUUGGUCAAUGGGCGAGAGCCUGAACCAGCCAAGUAGCGUGCAGGAAGACGGCCCUAUGGGUUGUAAAACUGCUUUUGCAGGGGAAAUAAAGUAUGCCACGUGUGGUGUUUGCAUGUACCCUGCGAAUAAGGACCGGCUAAUUCCGUG